UACGGAGGGUGCAAGCGUUAUCCGGAUUCACUGGGUUAAAGGGUGCGUAGGUGGGUCUGUAAGUCAGUGGUGAAAAAUCUCCGAGCUUAACUUGGAAAACUGCCAUUGAUACUAUAGAUCUUGAAUAUUUUGUGGAGGUCAGCGGAAAAUAUGUCAUGUAGCGGUGAAAAUGCUUUUAGAUAUGACAUAGAAAACACCAAAAUUUUGCGAAAGGCAGCUCACUACACAGUCAUUUUGACGCUGAGG
rnacentral:rRNA from 1 species